AUUAAAGUUGUUGCAGUUAAAAAGCUCGUAGUUGGACUUGUGUGCGCUGUCCGCGGGUGGCCUGCGCCCAAAAGGGCGUUUCGGUUCGGCCCCGGUGGCGCCUUGAAAUCUGCAGCUGGGGGGACGUUGGCCUUAACUGGUCGGCGACCGCACGCCGGCUGCUCGGUUACUGUGAGAAAAUUAGAGUGUUCAAGGCAGGCAUUGGGUGCAAUUGAAUACAUUAGCAUGGAAUAAUAAAAUAUGGCUCCUGCCGUAUUUUGUUGGUUUUGACUGGUGGGAGUAAUGAUUGAUAGGGACGGUUGGGGGUGCUAGUAUUGAGCGGCCAGAGGUGAAAUUCAUGGAUUCGCUCAAGACUAACUUAUGCGAAAGCAUUCACCAAGGACGUCCUCUUUAAUCAAGAACGAAAGUUGGGGGAUCGAAGACGAUCAGAUACCGUCGUAGUCUCAACCAUAAACUAUGUCGACUUGGGAUCGGCGGUAGUUUUUUCAUUAAGACACUGUCGGGACCACGGGAGAAAUCAAAGUGUCUGGACUCUGGGGGAAGUAUGGUCGCAAGGCUGAAACUUGAAGGAAUUGACGGAAGGGCACCACCAGGAGUGGAGCCUGCGGCUUAAUUUGACCCAACACGGGGAAACUUACCAGGUCCAGAGAUGUAGAGGAUUGACAGAUUGAAGCUCUUUCUUGAUCACUUCGGUGGUGGUGCAUGGCCGUUCUUAGUUGGUGGAGUGAUUUGUCUGGUUAAUUCCGUUAACGAACGAGACCUCAGCCUGCUAGUGUAGUCGGCUGGAUUGCCUUUGGCGAUCCGUGAUUCCGACUUCUUAGAGGGACAAUCGACGCGCAGUCGAUGGAAGUUUGAGGCAAUAACAGGUCUGUGAUGCCCUUAGAUGUUCUGGGCCGCACGCGCGCUACACUGCUGGGCUCAGCGAGUUUUACUUGGCCGAGAGGCCCGGUUAAUCAUGUGAAAUCCCAGCGUGCUUGGGCUCGCCUCCUGCAACUGGAGGCGCCAACGAGGAAUUCCUAGUAGACGCAGGUCAUCAACCUGCAUCGAUUACGUCCCUGCCCUUUGUACACACCGCCCGUCGUUCCAUAAGAGUGAGGCAUCCGGUGAAUUCUCGGGAGAGCCUGGGCGUGGCCAGCAAUGGUCUGCUCGGGUUUGAACUUGCAUAAACUUAGUGCCUAUGAUUAGGG
rnacentral:rRNA from 1 species